rnacentral:rRNA from 1 species
UCCUACGGGAGGCAGCAGUAGGGAAUCUUCCGCAAUGGACGAAAGUCUGACGGAGCAACGCCGCGUGAGUGAUGAAGGCUUUCGGGUCGUAAAACUCUGUUGUUAGGGAAGAACAAGUGCUAGUUGAAUAAGCUGGCACCUUGACGGUACCUAACCAGAAAGCCACGGCUAACUACGUGCCAGCAGCCGCGGUAAUACGUAGGUGGCAAGCGUUAUCCGGAAUUAUUGGGCGUAAAGCGCGCGCAGGUGGUUUCUUAAGUCUGAUGUGAAAGCCCACGGCUCAACCGUGGAGGGCCAUUGGAAACUGGGAGACUUGAGUGCAGAAGAGGAAAGUGGAAUUCCAUGUGUAGCGGUGAAAUGCGUAGAGAUAUGGAGGAACACCAGUGGCGAAGGCGACUUUCUGGUCUGUAACUGACACUGAGGCGCGAAAGCGUGGGGAGCAAACAGGAUUAGAUACCCUGGUAGUCCACGCCGUAAACGAUGAGUGCUAAGUGUUAGAGGGUUUCCGCCCUUUAGUGCUGAAGUUAACGCAUUAAGCACUCCGCCUGGGGAGUACGGCCGCAAGGCUGAAACUCAAAGGAA